rnacentral:rRNA from 1 species
AUACAUGACUACAUCAUCGCGUCAAUGCACUAGAUCCCAUUAAAACUCCAUAAUUAAGCGUGCUCGGGCUAGAAUAGUACUAGGAUGGGUGACCACCCAAAAAUUCCUAGCAUUUUACGUU